GCGGGUAUAGUUAGUGGUAAAA
rnacentral:tRNA from 3 species